UAACCAUGCAAGUCGAACGGGAUCCAUCAGGCUUUGCUUGGUGGUGAGAGUGGCGAACGGGUGAGUAAUGCGUGACCGACCUGCCCCAUACACCGGAAUAGCUCCUGGAAACGGGUGGUAAUGCCGGAUGCUCCGACUCCUCGCAUGGGGUGUCGGGAAAGAUUUCAUCGGUAUGGGAUGGGGUCGCGUCCUAUCAGGUAGUCGGCGGGGUAACGGCCCACCGAGCCUACGACGGGUAGCCGGCCUGAGAGGGCGACCGGCCACAUUGGGACUGAGAUACGGCCCAGACUCCUACGGGAGGCAGCAGUGGGGAAUAUUGCACAAUGGGCGCAAGCCUGAUGCAGCGACGCCGCGUGCGGGAUGACGGCCUUCGGGUUGUAAACCGCUUUUGAUCGGGAGCAAGCCUUCGGGUGAGUGUACCUUUCGAAUAAGCACCGGCUAACUACGUGCCAGCAGCCGCGGUAAUACGUAGGGUGCAAGCGUUAUCCGGAAUUAUUGGGCGUAAAGGGCUCGUAGGCGGUUCGUCGCGUCCGGUGUGAAAGUCCAUCGCUUAACGGUGGAUCUGCGCCGGGUACGGGCGGGCUGGAGUGCGGUAGGGGAGACUGGAAUUCCCGGUGUAACGGUGGAAUGUGUAGAUAUCGGGAAGAACACCAAUGGCGAAGGCAGGUCUCUGGGCCGUUACUGACGCUGAGGAGCGAAAGCGUGGGGAGCGAACAGGAUUAGAUACCCUGGUAGUCCACGCCGUAAACGGUGGAUGCUGGAUGUGGGGCCCGUUCCACGGGUUCCGUGUCGGAGCUAACGCGUUAAGCAUCCCGCCUGGGGAGUACGGCCGCAAGGCUAAAACUCAAAGAAAUUGACGGGGGCCCGCACAAGCGGCGGAGCAUGCGGAUUAAUUCGAUGCAACGCGAAGAACCUUACCUGGGCUUGAC
rnacentral:rRNA from 1 species